UGAUAUGGACAGUGAUGGUGUAGAGAUGGCAGGUUAACAGCCUGAUAUGGACAGUGAUGGUGUAGAGAUGGCAGGUUAAAAGCCUGAUAUGGACAGUGAUGGUGUAGAGAUGGCAGGUUAACAGCCUGAUAUGGACAGUGAUGGUGUAGAGAUGGCAGGUUAAAAGCCUGAUAUGGACAGUGAUGGUGUAGAGAUGGCAGGUUAAAAGCCUGAUAUGGACAGUGAUGGUGCAGAGAUGGCAGGUUAAAAGCCUGAUAUGGACAGUGAUGGUGUAGAGAUGGCAGGUUAAAAGCCUGAUAUGGACAGUGAUGGUGUAGAGAUGGCAGGUUAAAAGCC
rnacentral:lncRNA from 1 species